GUGUGUGUGUGUGAGGAAUUGAAGUGGCAGCAGCGUUAGAGACCGUGCUGAUCUUGUUCGACAGGACGCCUACGCAGACUGCGCGCGUUGGUCGUCGCACUGCGUCGAUCGUGAGCGCGCGCGUUGUAGCUUCAAUUGGAACGCUGCACGAGAAUGUGCUAGUGUGUCGUCGGAUUGAUACGACAGAACGCUUCGAUUGGGGAAGCGGUGGUGUUGAGCCAACGUGUCAACGGUGGUGCUCAGCAAGCGCUAAAGGGUGCACACGGGUGCGUGCCGUUCGGUAGACUCCUCCGGUGGCGAUCGACUUGAUUGAUGGACUAAAAGUAAAAGGUCAAUGCGCAAACUGUAUUCGCAAGGUUCAAUUUUGACUUCCUAAUGCCAUCAGCUGGGACCACUGUGCUACGCCAAACGAUGACGUGCUCGCGUUGUGUCGUCUGCCAUCCACACCUAGCCGCCGGCAGGUCCAGCCCUCAGCGCACCAAGGCGUACGCCUAUCGAAUCGACAAUGAAUUCCGUACCAACUGAUGUUCCGUUUGCCACUGAUCCGUUCUCAACCGUGCUGCAGCCAUCAACAGGGAACCGACGUGCCGGCCUGCACGCGUUCGUAUGUGUGUGUGUGUGGCUCGCGGACACGUAAUCCGUCUGGUUGAUCUGUUCGCGACCGCGACCUUCUGCUCCGGGCUCUACAACUCCGGGAACACACUACCGGCAACACGGAUCGGUAAACAUUCUGCUGAGACGAUUUUUGAUAGGUGAUACGUGCUGCCGGUACGUUCGGUGAUAUCCAGUGGCCCCCAAAACGAAAUAUGACGAAGAAGCAGAAGACUGCGGAGGAGCAAAAGUGUGGACGAUCCGGGGCAGACGAUCACGGGAAUAGUUCACCGAUAGCGUCGUCCGAACCGAUGGACGGCAUUGAUUAGACGAGACGAACAUCACAACAGUGCGGUCGAUUUCCAAACGAAACAGCUGAAAAAAAAUCCUCCAAAAGUGUAUGAUAGCGACUUUGGAGAGAAAAUCACUCCAGCACGACGAGUCCGGCCAGGCCAGGGAGGGAGGAAGUCUGCUAGAGCCUAGCGUGCGGAGGUAAUCUUUUCUCUAAUGACAACCAUAUUUUAGAUUAGAAAUAAACUCGUAAAGCGAAAAUGACAUCAACCAAAUAAAAAAG